rnacentral:rRNA from 1 species
GUGCACAAUGGGCGCAAGCCUGAUGCAGCCAUGCCGCGUGUGUGAAGAAGGCUUCGGGUUGUAAAGCACUUUCAGCGAGGAGGAAAGCUUAAGCGUGUAAUAGCGUUUAGGUGUGACGUUACUCGCAGAAGAAGGACCGGCUAACUUCGUGCCAGCAGCCGCGGUAAUACGAGGGGUCCAAGCGUUAAUCGGAAUUACUGGGCGUAAAGCGUACGCAGGCGGUUUGUUAAGCGAGAUGUGAAAGCCCCGGGCUCAACCUGGGAACUGCAUUUCGAACUGGCAAACUAGAGUCUUGUAGAGGGGGGUAGAAUUUCAGGUGUAGCGGUGAAAUGCGUAGAGAUCUGAAGGAAUACCGGUGGCGAAGGCGGCCCCCUGGACAAAGACUGACGCUGCAUGUACGAAAGCGUGGGGAGCAAACAGGAUUAGAUACCCUGGUAGUCCACGCCGUAAACGAUGUCUACUCGGAAUUUGGUGUCUUGAACACUGGGUUCUCAAGCUACCGCAUUAAGUAGACCGCCUGGGGAGUACGGCGCAAGGUUAAAACUCAAAGG